rnacentral:rRNA from 1 species
GGGGCCCCAAGUCAAGCGGGACUACCCGCUGAGUUUAAGCAUAUCAAUAAGCGGAGGAGAAGAAACUUACUAGGAUUGCCUUA